rnacentral:lncRNA from 1 species
UCUAUUGUCUCCGAAUCCUCGCAACAGAAUACGCAUAUACCCUUUCCCUGCCACCCUCUUUCACGCAUAUUGUCUUUUUUUUUGAGAGAGAGAGAGAGAUAGGUAGCACGCUACCCGCUUUGUUUAUUUUAUUUAGAAAUAAAUUUAGCUGGUAAUGUGAAUCAACUAGAAUUCGAAUUUGGAUCUCGGAUACCAACCAUCAAGCCUUUUAUCACUUGCUCUAAGGACAGUCGGUCUUUUAGGCAUGCAUAUUGUCAAU